UACGUAGGGUGCAAGCGUUGUCCGGAAUUAUUGGGCGUAAAGAGCUCGUAGGCGGCUCGUUGCGUCGGCUGUGAAAACCCGCAGCUCAACUGUGGGCUUGCAGCCGAUACGGGCGGGCUGGGAUUCGGUAGGGGAGACUGGAAUUCCUGGUGUAGCGGUGAAAUGCGCAGAUAUCAGGAGGAACACCGGUGGCGAAGGCGGGUCUCUGGGCCGAUAUCGACGCUGAGGAGCGAAAGCGUGGGGAGCGAACAGG
rnacentral:rRNA from 1 species